CGCUGCCCCAUACCUGAAGACCAAGUUUAUCUGUGUGACACCGUAAGUGGCUUCCUUUCCCCGUUUUGCCUUCAUUUCUAAUAUCCUCAGUUAUCCCUGGGAAUGGGACACUGGGUGAGAGUUAAUCUGCCAAGGGUUGGAAGCCCCUGGGCUAUGUUUAGUACUCAAAGUGACCUUGUGUGUUUAAAAAGCUUGAGCUUUUAUUUUUCUGUUGGAGACCGGAGUUUGAUGGCUUGUGUGUGUGUGUUUUGUUCUUUUUUUUUUUCCAUUGUGUCUUGUCAACCCCCCGUUUCCCCUCCUGCUGCCCCCCAUUUCCUACAGAACGACCUGCAGCAAUACCAUUGACCUGCCGAUGUCCCCCCGCACUUUAGAUUCAUUGAUGCAGUUUGGAAAUAAUGGUGAAGGUGCUGAACCCUCAGCAGGAGGGCAGUUUGAGUCCCUCACCUUUGACAUGGAGUUGACCUCGGAGUGCGCUACCUCCCCCAUGUGAGGAGCUGAGAACGGAAGCUGCAGAAAGAUACGACUGAGGCGCCUACCUGCAUUCCGCCACCCCUCACACAGCCAAACCCCAGAUCAUCUGAAACUACUAACUUUGUGGUUCCAGAUUUUUUUAAAUCUCCUACUUCUGCUAUCUUUGAGCAAUCUGGGCACUUUUAAAAAUAGAGAAAUGAGUGAAUGUGGGUGAUCUGCUUUUAUCUAAAUGCAAAUAAGGAUGUGUUCUCUG
rnacentral:sRNA from 1 species